rnacentral:rRNA from 1 species
GGAAUUACUGGGCGUAAAGCGCAUGCAGGUGGUUUGUUAAGUCAGAUGUGAAAGCCCGGGGCUCAACCUCGGAAUUGCAUUGAAACUGGCAGACUAGAGUACUGUAGAGGGGGUAGAAUUUCAGGUGUAGCGGUGAAAUGCGUAGAGAUCUGAAGGAAUACCGGUGGCGAAGGCGGCCCCCUGGACAGAUACUGACACUCAGAUGCGAAAGCGUGGGGAGCAAACAGGAUUAGAUACCCUGGUAGUCCACGCCGUAAACGAUGUCUACUUGGAGGUUGUGGCCUUGAGCCGUGGCUUUCGGAGCUAACGCGAUAAGUAGACCGCCUGGGGAGUACGGCCGCAAGAUUAAAACUCAAAUGAAUUGACGGGGGCCCGCACAAGCGGUGGAGCAUGUGGUUUAAUUCGAUGCAACGCGAAGAACCUUACCUACUCUUGACAUACUAGAAACUUUUCAGAGAUGAAUUGGUGCCUUCGGGAAUCUAGAUACAGGUGCUGCAUGGCU